CGUGACUUCUACUGAGAUCAGACGAUAUGAACUUAUAGCCAUUUGAGUAAGAUAUCAGAAACAAUUUGUAAUGGUCCAGGUUGAUCAGGAUGUGGACCUAACAAUGACAAAUGAAGUUGCCCCAGGACUGUGGAAUACACUUCCUUAGAGCUACUCCUUUUCCUGUUGGCUUUUAAGAAACAACUAAAGACACAUCCCUUCAGCCAAGAUUUUUAGUCGGUGUUUUUAUGGAUAUUUUAAACCAGAUGUUAUAUGUUUUAACUGUUAAACUAUUAGGUUGUUUUAUGCUGUACGCCACCUAGAGACUUUGGUAGUGGGUGGUAUACAAAUUUAUUAAAUGAAUGAAUAAAUACAUACAUAUAAUAAGGAGGCAUUACAAAGAAAAGUUGUUAAUGAUGCCUAUCAACUUUUCAGAGACUCGCUAAAGCCCAAGAAUCUCUUGGAAGUAGUCCAGAUACUUUAACCUGAACUGGCACCUGGUGGACAGGGCUAGGUUGGUGGUGGCUGAUAGGAUUACAGCCAGCAGAUUUUGCAAGUAGCCUCUCCAGGCCAAGCUCUAGGCUUCAGAGGACUCUCUGCAAACUGGAUUCCAUGACUCCCUCCAACCUUGCUCUAUAUUGCUCUGCAUACAAAGGCUAUGAGCACAGGGGACGUCUCAGGGUUGCCAUAUUCUGGCUCUCCAAAUCCAGGCACCCUAAUUUGCAUUAUAUAAAAUGACUUGCGGAUAAUUUGCAUGUUAUGCAAAUUAGCAGGCACACUUUCCAGUUGACUUGUAUUUGAUCUGAAUAUCUACCAGCAAUAUUUGGGGAAGAUAUCUUUGCCUGACCAUUUUCCUUGACAUAUUAACAGCAGCACUAGAACCAAAAAAAAGGGGUGGGUGGGAAUGCACAGCUUUCUCAUUAAGGUUGCAAUUCUGUACACACUUACUUGAGAGAUCUGAUUGAAACCAACCUGCUUACUUCUAAGUAGGCAUGCACAGAAUGUAAAGCCAAAGUCCUUAAACAUUACAAUACACAGCCUGGCAGGCAAGCAGUGGUAUACAAAAAAAGCAAGCAUCCUCACAACAGCCAGAUAAGAGAUUCCCUGCUGAUAAAAAACAAAGGCAACAUUUCUUGUGGGGUUACUGUACUUGUGAACCUCCCAGCUAGCCUCCUGUGCUUUACCUGCCUUAAUCCAAGUCCAGUGGUUGAGCAGAAUAGUGACUGCACAUUUUGCUCCAUAACUCCACUUCUACAAGGGCUAGGGCUUAGCUUUAAAAAGAAAAGAAAUUUGAACUCUGGGCGGGCUAAGCAAUCCAUGUGGCAUGCUAAAAUAUGAGUACUACCCAGAAAAUCAGGGGAGAUGGCAUUGCUACUUGAAGAUCAGCAGUGGGCCUUUUUGAGAGCCCUAGCAGCUGUCCAACAAUACUGACUUUGAUCCUUUCUGACCCCGUCUCUUGAACAUGCAAAUUAUACAUGGUAAUUGCUCACUCACUUUUAAAAACAUGUAUCUGCUUCAUUCAUAUAAAGUAUUGUGUGUAAUUUAAAGAGUCAAAUAUCCUGGGUUGGAGGUGCUAAGUCUUUUUCAGUCUAUUGUCUGUCUUCUUUGCAGCCAGCCCCCAUCCCACCCCCCCUUCACUUAACUGGGCUCACUUCUGCUGUGAGAUCCUGGCUGAGAGAAAACAAAACAAAACAUAAGAGUUCAAAUAGAGAUUCAUAUAGGUCAGAGACUUCAGUCUUGAUGUCAUCUGGAGGCUCCUCUCAGCCUGAAGCAUUGAUAGUCCUCUAAGAGGGUUUCAGUACCUCCUCAUCCCUGUCUGAGGAAAUCGGAGUCCUGAGAUUGGGGUGUGUGUGUGUCACUUUUAGUGUUGCAGCACACUUGAUUUUGCUUCUGCCUGUUUAAGCUUAUGUUACAAAUGUUAACCUGGCCCCACUUCUUUGCACUGGGAUAGGGCUAGACAUGUGCAUAUACUGUAUAAUCAACUGAAAAUGUAAUUCUAAACAAAAAUCCUGUCUGAAAAAAGUUGCCUUUUUGAAAAGUAAAAAUCAAGAAAUAGGGUUGGGCAGAUUAAGAUGUGUGUAUUGUCAGAGGAGUUAGUUCGUGAAUAAUUUGGUAAACUGUUUUGCUCUCAACUGGAUUCUUAAAGCAUUGUGCUCAUUCACGCUUUCUGGAAAUUAAUGGAAAUUGCAUUAAAUAUAAAUGUUGGAGAAGUGCCUCUCACAUUUUCAUUCUGACCAUUCUUUAUUUUUAG